rnacentral:rRNA from 1 species
CAUUAAAGGGGAACGUGAGCUGGGUUUAGACCGUCGUGAGACAGGUCGGACUCUACCCACGGGGGGUGCGGGCCGCCUGAGGGGAGGGUGACCCAAGUACGAAAGGAACGGGUCGCCGCGGCCUCUAGUCUACCGGUUGUCCGGCAGGGCAUAUGCCGGGCAGCCACGCCGUAAGGGAUAACCGCUGAAAGCAUCUAAGCGGGAAGCUCGCCCCGAAAAGAGGCGGCCGUUCCGCCCGUUUGGGUGGACGAGGGCUCCCGUAGAAGACGGGGUUGAUGGGGCGGGGGUGUAUGCCCCGAGGGUUUCCCGAGGGGCGAGCCUGCCGCUCCCAAUAGCCCGAGG